UAGGGAAUCUUCCGCAAUGGACGCAAGUCUGACGGAGCAACGCCGCGUGAGUGAAGAAGGAUUUCGGUUCGUAAAACUCUGUUGUUAGAGAAGAACAGCGCAUAGAGUAACUGUUAUGCGUGUGACGGUGUCUAACCAGAAAGCCACGGCUAACUACGUGCCAGCAGCCGCGGUAAUACGUAGGUCCCGAGCGUUGUCCGGAUUUAUUGGGCGUAAAGCGAGCGCAGGCGGUUAGAAAAGUCUGAAGUGAAAGGCAGUGGCUCAACCAUUGUAGGCUUUGGAAACUGUUUAACUUGAGUGCAGAAGGGGAGAGUGGAAUUCCAUGUGUAGCGGUGAAAUGCGUAGAUAUAUGGAGGAACACCGGUGGCGAAAGCGGCUCUCUGGUCUGUAACUGACGCUGAGGCUCGAAAGCGUGGGGAGCGAACAGG
rnacentral:rRNA from 1 species